UACGAGGGGGGCAAGCGUUGUUCGGAUUCAUUGGGCGUAAAGGGUGCGUAGGUGGCGGGGUAAGUCAGAUGUGAAAUCUCGGAGCUCAACUCCGAAACUGCAUUUGAUACUGCCUUGCUUAAGUACUGGAGAGGAGAUUGGAAUUUACGGUGUAGCAGUGAAAUGCGUAGAUAUCGUAAGGAAGACCAGUGGCGAAGGCGAAUCUCUGGACAGUUACUGACACUGAGGCACGAAGGCCAGGGGAGCAAACGGG
rnacentral:rRNA from 1 species